rnacentral:rRNA from 1 species
CCUACGGGAGGCUGCAGUGGGGAAUUUUGGACAAUGGGCGCAAGCCUGAUCCAGCCAUGCCGCGUGAGUGAAGAAGGCCUUCGGGUUGUAAAGCUCUUUCGGCCGGGAAGAAAUCGGGGUGGCUAAUAUCUGCUCUGGAUGACGGUACCGGAAUAAGAAGCACCGGCUAACUACGUGCCAGCAGCCGCGGUAAUACGUAGGGUGCGAGCGUUAAUCGGAAUUACUGGGCGUAAAGCGUGCGCAGGCGGUUUUUUAAGAUAGGCGUGAAAUCCCCGGGCUCAACCUGGGAACUGCGCUUAUGACUGGAAGACUAGAGUACGGCAGAGGGGGGUGGAAUUCCACGUGUAGCAGUGAAAUGCGUAGAGAUGUGGAGGAACACCGAUGGCGAAGGCAGCCCCCUGGGCCGAUACUGACGCUCAUGCACGAAAGCGUGGGGAGCAAACAGGAUUAGAUACCCGAGUAGUC